UACGAAGGGGGCUAGCGUUGUUCGGAUUUACUGGGCGUAAAGCGCACGUAGGCGGAUCGUUAAGUCGGGGGUGAAAUCCUGGAGCUCAACUCCAGAACUGCCUUCGAUACUGGCGAUCUUGAGUCCGGAAGAGGUGAGUGGAACUCCUAGUGUAGAGGUGGAAUUCGUAGAUAUUCGCAAGAACACCAGUGGCGAAGGCGGCUCACUGGCCCGAUACUGACGCUGAGGCACGAAAGCGUGGGGAGCAAACAGGG
rnacentral:rRNA from 1 species